ACACGACUACAUUAGAUACCCGCGUAGUCCCAGCCCUAAACGAUGCGCGUUAGGUGUAUCGGUGACCACGAGUCACCGAGGUGCCGAAGGGAAACCGUGAAACGUGCCGCCUGGGAAGUACGGUCGCAAGGCUGAAACUUAAGGAAUUGGCGGGGGAGCACCACAACGGGUGGAGCCUGCGGUUUAAUUGGACUCAACGCCGGGAAGCUCACCGGAUAAGACAGCGGAAUGAUUGCCGGGCUGAAGACCCUGCAUGACCAGCUG
rnacentral:rRNA from 1 species